CUGAGGAACCUGGCUUUAUUUCAGGACGAGAGCUGCGUCUUCCUUGAUCCCCCUAAAGAAGAAGAAUGGAGAAGCUUCUGGCUCUGUCUUUGGUGAUUCUGUGGCUUCAGCUGGCCAAGGUGAAUAGCCAGCAAGGAGAACAGAAUCUUCAGACCCUGAGGAUCCAGGAGGGUGAAAAUGUCACCAUGAACUGCAGUUAUAAAAGUAUUACUUUAACUGCCUUACAGUGGUACAGACAGGAUUCAAGGCGAGGCUUUGUUCACCUGAUUUUAAUGCAUUCAAAUGAGAGACAGAAAUAUAGUGGGAGACUACACUUCACACUUGACAACUCCAUCAAAAGCAGUUCCUUGUCCAUCACGGCUUCUCAGGCUGAGGACGCUGCUACUUACCUCUGUGCUGCAGACCCACAGUGCUCAGCGGGCACCUGCAGCCCCAGCACAAACCUGCCAAGCUGUCUCUUAGAAGCCACAACAGUGUGCAGGGUUGGUGGUUUUGUCUUCCCACAAGGGAGAGUCUGCAAACGGCUAGCAACACAAAAGGGAGCUCCUCUCAAAUUCCUGAUGUUUUCGGUAGCGUGUCAGACUAUGCAAAGGGCGUGA